rnacentral:rRNA from 1 species
AUUGAACGCUGGCGGAAUGCUUUACACAUGCAAGUCGAACGGCAGCACGGACUUCGGUCUGGUGGCGAGUGGCGAACGGGUGAGUAAUGUAUCGGAACGUGCCCAGUCGUGGGGGAUAACGUAGUGAAAAUUGCGCUAAUACCGCAUACGAUCUAUGGAUGAAAGCGGGGGAUCGCAAGACCUCGCGCGAUUGGAGCGGCCGAUAUCAGAUUAGGUAGUUGGUGGGGUAAAGGCCCACCAAGCCAACGAUCUGUAGCUGGUCUGAGAGGACGACCAGCCACACUGGAACUGAGACACGGUCCAGACUCCUACGGGAGGCAGCAGUGGGGAACUUUGGACAAUGGGCGAAAGCCUGAUCCAGCCAUUCCGCGUGCAGGAUGAAGGCCCUCGGGUUGUAAACUGCUUUUGUACAGAACGAAAAGGUUUCUACUAAUACUAGGAGCUCAUGACGGUACUGUAAGAAUAAGCACCGGCUAACUACGUGCCAGCCGCCGCAGUAA